rnacentral:lncRNA from 1 species
GGAGGAAGGAAGGGAGGGAGGGAGGGAGGAAGGAGUAAGGAAGGAAGGAAGGAAGGAAGGAAGGAAGGAAGGAAGAGGAAGGAAGGAAGGAAGGAAGGAAGGAAGGAAGGAAGGAAGGAAGGAAGGAAGGAAGGAAGGAAGGAAGGAAGGAAGGAAGGAAGGAAGGAAGGAAGGAAGGAAGGAAGGAAGGAAGGAAGGAAGAAGGAAGGAAGAAGGAAGGAAGGAAGGAAGGAAGGAAGGAAGAAGGAAGGAAGAAGGAAGGAAGGAAGGAAGGAAGGAAGGAAGGAAGGAAGGAAGGAAGGAAGGAAGGAAGGAAGGAAGGAAGGAAGGAAGGAAGGAAGGAAGGAAGGAAGGAAGGAAGGAAAGAAGAAAUAUUUCUGUUAUAUUAAGAAUAUGCAAAUAUUCUAUUUGGUUUUUGUUGAUUUCAGAAUUUUUUUUAAGUUGAGAUUUUCCUUGUUAUCUUACUUUUUGGUUACUUAAUUUCUCCUUGAUUUUUUUUUACCAUAUUCAAACUUUCUGGGUAUCUAUUUUGGUAUAAAAACUUUUUAAUGAAAUUAACUUCUACUGGAAAAAAGUUUUUAGGUCUGUGCAAAUGUUUAGUCAAGGAAAUUGUCACUCAUAUCUAACUUGGAACUUUUCAGCUGUAUUUAAAGCUCACUUUCUCUUGGUUUGUUCUUAGAGAAUAGAUUGUCCCAAACCUCUGCUUGAUCAAUCUCAGAUUGCUAUUGAUUUCAAAUUGGCAUCUGGUGACAGAGAGCAUGGCACAGUAGGUAGCCAGCUUUAAAGUCAGGAAGACCUGGGUUUGUUUUUUAGUUCUGGCAUAUUUUGGCUACAUGACCCUGGGAAAGUCACUUAAUCCUUCAAUGAUCUGGGCAGUUCUCCUAAUCAAGAUGUUACAGAUGAGGUUCUGACCAGUAUUGGUGGGGGGCAUUUCCUCAUCUCCUUCCUUAUACUCUUGAAAUUACAUUUUAGACUCUAUCCUGUAUCUUCUGACAGAAUGUGACCAACAUGGUAGUGAACCUAAAAACACUGAAGAAAGUCAUAACUUAUGCCUUGUUCAAUUGGUGGCGAGCAGAAGACUGUUACAAACCUAAAUAAUGGAUCACAGUGGCUAUGUAAUGACAAGGCAAAAUACUGAUAAUUAAAUGAUUUUAAUAGUGUGUCAAGAUGAAGGAUAACAGUCUUGGAAAAUGAGGCUGGUAAAUUAUUAUCCCUCAGGCUUGUACCACACAUCCUAGUUCAGGCGUGAAAGAUGCAGUAUGCAAAAUCUUCAUCCAUACAUUUUACUUUAACACAAUGUUAGCACCCACUGUAUUAGGGUUACUUACUUCUGUAGCACAGCUGUGCUACAUUCUCAGCCUUUAGGCAAAUGGAUAGUUAGCAUCAAAUUUAUCUAAAAAGAAGAAGAGUUUUAAAAUAUGCCCAUAGGGAGCAUUAACUCUGACAUUACCAGAAACUCCAAAAUUAACUACCUCCUGAG